rnacentral:tRNA from 1 species
GCCACCGUAGCUCAGUUGGUAGAGCAACUGAUUUGUAAUCAGUCGGUCGGGGGUUCGAGUCCCUUCGGUGGCU